rnacentral:rRNA from 1 species
ACGAACGCUGGCGGCGUGCUUAACACAUGCAAGUCGAACGGAAAGGCCCUGCUUUUGUGGGGUGCUCGCGUGGCGAACGGGUGAGUAACACGUGAGUAACCUGCCCUUGACUUUGGGAUAACUUCAGGAAACUGGGGCUAAUACCGGAUAGGAGCUCCUGCUGCAUGGUGGGGGUUGGAAAGUUUCGGCGGUUGGGGAUGGACUCGCGGCUUAUCAGCUUGUUGGUGGGGUAGUGUCUUACCAAGGCUUUGACGGGUAGCCGGCCUGAGAGGGUGACCGGCCACAUUGGGACUGAGAUACGGCCCAGACUCCUACGGGAGGCAGCAGUGGGGAAUAUUGCACAAUGGGCGGAAGCCUGAUGCAGCAACGCCGCGUGCGGGAUGACGGCCUUCGGGUUGUAAACCGCUUUCGCCUGUGACGAAGCGUGAGUGACGGUAAUGGGUAAAGAAGCACCGGCUAACUACGUG